CACCAGCCCCACUACACGGUAG
rnacentral:miRNA from 1 species